CUCCACUAACGGGGUCAGCAUAACGAUGACAGUGCAGCCACUCUCCCACACCAUCUAAGGACAGAGAUCCAGCCAGGCGUGCUGGACCAUGCCUGUAUCCUAAACUCUGGAGGUAGAGGCAGGAACAUGAGUUUUCAGAGCAUCCUAGACUACAGCAAGACCCCAUAUCAAGAAGAAGAAAACCCCCAAACUCUCCUCUACAAUAACCUCUGUGGAGAUGGGAGCUGCUGGCCUCCCUGACUGGACACUCACCAAGAUUUCUUCCUGUGCCCUUGGGCAGCAACUGCAGCAGGGUCAAGUAGGUAGAAAGCUGCUCCGGGGUCAGCUGACGCAGCUCUACUCCAUAGCCUGCCAGCACAGGAGCCAAUCUCUGCAGACUCACAUCUG
rnacentral:lncRNA from 1 species